rnacentral:sRNA from 1 species
AUAAUGAUAAAUGCGUAGAAAAAAAGUGUCUAAAUUUAGAGAGAAAAAAAUGCUUACCAGCUAAGAGCAUCUUCAUCAGUGAAAUACCUUCUUAGUUUCUAAAAA